rnacentral:sRNA from 1 species
UCUCCCAUCCAAGUACUAACCAGUCCUAACCUUGAUUAGCUUCUAAGAUCAGAAGAGGUCGGGCAUGGUCAGAGUGGUAUGGCCGUAGAC